ACACCCCUUCAGGUUUUUGCCCUCCAACCAUAUAACCUUGCUACAAGAAAGAAGAGUCGUUCCUUUGGAAAGAGGCCAAUCACCUUUUCAGGAGUCAGACAUAUUGGGACACAUCCCCAUCCAACAGAUUUGAGGAGGAAUUGGGUGAUGAUUGACUGUCCCAGACCCUCUCUAAAUGGAUUUCAGACCUGCAAAGAUUGUAA